ACAGCCUGUCCCAAACAGUGAUGCUGUUUUGAAUUGCCCAGCCUGUAUGACUACACUGUGCCUUGAUUGCCAGAGGCAUGAAUCCUACAAGACUCAGUACAGGGCAAUGUUUGUGAUGAAUUGCUCUAUCAACAGAGAGGAGGUUCUAAGAUACAAGAAUUCAGACAAUAGGAAGAAAAGGCGGAGUGCUAAGAAGAUGCGGUCUAAUCCUGAAGACCUCGCAGAGAGAGAAGUGGAAGAAAUCUAUCACCCUGUCAUGUGCACAGAGUGCUCAACUGAAGUGGCUGUCUAUGACAAGGAUGAAGUCUUUCACUUUUUCAAUGUUCUAGCAAGCCAUUCUUGAACAAUGUGACAGAGUCCAGAAGAGGACAUCAGAUCCCCUGGGACUGAAGCUAUAGAUGGCUGUGAGCUUCCAUGUGGCUGCUGAGAAUUGAACCCAAGUCCUCUGGCAAAGCAGCCAGUGCUCUUAUCAGCUGAACCAUUUUUCCAGCUCCAAUGUGCUCCUGUUUGAACACUUGUUGAACACUAUAUAUACUUAAUUUUUAAGCUGUCUGAUGUUUUCACCUCUAAUAGUGAGAAUAAUGGCGCUGACUUCGCAUGGUAGAGGUAAAAUGGGCUAAAUGAGAAGGUAGACGGAACAUGAGCUAAUGACCUCACAGGAUGUUGUAACGGUGAGUAUCCCGUUCACCACUGUUAGACCUUUAU
rnacentral:lncRNA from 1 species